CGCAUUUCUCCCACCCAUCUUCCUCACAGACAGUGUGCAGUGUCUCCUUCCUGGCUCCCUCGCACAUGUCCAUCUCCCCCGGCCCCCAAGCCCCUGGCCCUGACUGUAGCCCCACUUUGGAGGGCGGGCAGCGGCUCCCAUGGCAAGCUGCAUGCAGCAGGAAGUGACUUUAGCUAUUUGGCCACAAGGCUGGGCACUGCUGUGCUGGGAGCUGGUGCAGACGCCCCAGCCCGGCCCGUAGGGACACCGGCCCACAUCUGAGCCCGCUGCCCCACAGACACGGAUGUCCCACCUGGCCAGGGCUGGCCGCCUUCAGCCUCCUUCCCUCCCAGCCCCGGCCUGCUUAAGGGUGCGGGCACAGCGGGCACCCCUGAGCCAGGGUGGGCAGCUAUGGGGCAGGGCUGGCUGCUGACCCCAAGCCAUCAUAGACAGAGCAGGAAGAUGGUUCCCUGGGUACUAGGGCUCCCCAGGGUUUGCCACCUGCUGAUGCUAUCCCCCCAGACCCUUCCCUGGGGCGGGAGGUGGUGGGGUCUGAGAGACAGACAUCUAAGAGAUUUUUUCCUCACAGACUAGACAUUGGGCAACCCCCCCCAAUCUCCCUCUGCUGAGCUAAAAACCUCCCCAAACCCCUCAAGUAUCAAUCACUCCCCCUCUGUGAGAUUCCCCAGGAAAUUUUAAAGCCACUGUAAGUCACUCGGUCUGGGGGUCCCAGCUCCACUCGGGCCGCGGCCCUCCCCUCUGGGAGGGGGAACAAAGAUGGCAGAAGAAAGGAGAUAACAGCUAGUGACUGAGGCAGCAGCAGAGGAGGGAGAGAAGGGGCUGGGGCAGCAGGAGAGCGGGGCCCAGGAAGGAGGGAGCCGGGCCCAGGAAGGAGAGAGCCGGGCCCAGGAAGGAGGGAGCCGGGCCCAGGAAGGAGGGAGCCGGGCCCAGCUAGGAGGGAGCCGGGCCCAGGUAGGAGGGAGCCGGGCCCAGGUAGGAGGGAGCCGGGCCCAGGUAGGAGGGAGCCGGGCCCAGGUAGGAGGGAGCCGGGCCCAGGAAGGAGGGAGCCGGGCCCAGCUAGGAGGGAGCCGGGCCCAGCUAGGAGGGAGCCGGGCCCAGGAAGGAGGGAGCCGGGCCCCGGAAGGAGGGAGCCGGGCCCAGGUAGGAGGGAGCCGGGCCCAGGAAGGAGGGAGCCGGGCCCAGGAAGGAGGGAGCCGGGCCCAGGUAGGAGGGAGCAGGGAUGAGAGGCAGACAAAAGGCUGGCACAG